GGCGGAUGUAGCCAAGUGGAUGCAAGGCCAAGGAUUGUGAAUCCACUAUGCG
rnacentral:tRNA from 1 species